GGCUGUGGAAGGAUUUCCGUUUGACAGAAGCCCAUCAACUGAGACCACACAGGCCUUAAAGCCACGGUGGACUCUGACGCCCACUUCACACAGCUCAAGAGAGGCCAGAAGUGGUGCUGCUUCCUACGGUUGUGAAGCGGACCUAGUCAGCAUCAGUACAGGGUCAGCAGCACAUAUAUGGAUCAUAACCAAGAAUUGACCCAGCUGCAUUAGCUCUUGGCUCUAGUAACUUAUGGCAACAGCAAACUUUGGUGGUUGUAGGAGUUUGGGAAAUGUUGACGGGGGCUGGCUAACCCUCCGCUCCGUGUGGAACCCAGUG